GAUGAACGCUGGCGGCGUGCCUAAUACAUGCAAGUCGAGCGAACGGACGAGAAGCUUGCUUCUCUGAUGUUAGCGGCGGACGGGUGAGUAACACGUGGAUAACCUACCUAUAAGACUGGGAUAACUUCGGGAAACCGGAGCUAAUACCGGAUAAUAUUUUGAACCGCAUGGUUCAAAAGUGAAAGACGGUCUUGCUGUCACUUAUAGAUGGAUCCGCGCUGCAUUAGCUAGUUGGUAAGGUAACGGCUUACCAAGGCAACGAUGCAUAGCCGACCUGAGAGGGGGAUCGGCCACACGGGAACUGAGACACGGUCCAGACGACUACGGGAGGCAGCAGUAGGGAAUCUUCCGCAAUGGGCGAAAGCCUGACGGAGCAACGCCGCGUGAGUGAUGAAGGUCUUCGGAUCGUAAAACUCUGUUAUUAGGGAAGAACAUAUGUGUAAGUAACUGUGCACAUCUUGACGGUACCUAAUCAGAAAGCCACGGCUAACUACGUG
rnacentral:rRNA from 1 species